CGCGGGAUGGAGCAGCAUGGUAUCUCGUCGGGCUCAUAACCCGAAGGUCGUCGGUUCAAAUCCGGCUCCCGCAACCA
rnacentral:tRNA from 1 species